rnacentral:lncRNA from 1 species
GCAUCUAUAAGCUAGGAAGGAGGCCCUCACCAGACUUGGAAUCUGCUGGCUUCCUGAUCUUGGCCUUUCUAGCCUCCAGAACUGAGAGCCUGGGCAGGUUUUCUAUUCUCCUGAGUGGAACCAUCAGACUUUUCUUGAGGGAUUGGCCCUCUAGUGAAGAGCAUGGAGUGGACUGGGCCAGGGAAAGAUCCUCAGAUAAUCCUUACAUACUAGAAUGAGGUGAAGCCAGAAAGGAAGAGUCAUAAUCAAAGAAGAGAGUGAUCAAGAAUCCAAAAUAGACAGAGAGAGCAGGCUCUUAGAGAAAUGGGAGAACUACCGCACUGACUCUGCACGUAGGAGACAGGCAGGAGAGGAGCGCCCCAGCCAGAGCUCAACAUGCGCAAACAGGAAGUGUGUCCGAGGUUUUCUGGAGCUCACAGGAGCCGGGGACCCACAGCCAGACGUUUAUCUGAAAGAAAAGCAGACAAGACAAACUAAAUCAGCAACCAUCCCUUUGGAUGCCAGCUGACCUCGGAUGGAGAUUUAGUGCUAGAUGUAAAAGGCUUUGUUUACAGACAAUUAAAAACCACAUAAAUUUAAAUUGUCAAAGAAGAAAUGGUUUCCAAAGCUUCUAACAGCCUGGUAGCCCCUCCUCAGCCCUGUGCAGGAAAGGCCCAGAGGCAAAUACAAAGCCACCAACCCAAAUGCCUGUGGAGUUUGCCAGAAAGCCAGAUCCUGCUGCUUCUGCUGCUUGUUACUGAUGUUGAAAAAUAAAAUCUUAUACAGC